rnacentral:lncRNA from 1 species
GUCCUGUUCCUGCGCUUCCCAAGCUGGGUAGAAACGGCGAGAGGCUGGGGGUUAGAAACGACAGGUUCCCGGCGGGCUGUGCCGGGGCUUCGCUGUGUGACCUUGGGCUGGCGUCUGGGCUCUCUGGGCCCUUGUUUCCGCGAGUUAAACGUAGGGGCGGGGGAGUUUCUCUGGCCCUGCCGCCUGUGACCUAAGGAGCCCCGUGACCUCUCCGACCCGAGCCCACCCCCGGCCCAGUCUGCGAGCAGCUCCGGGACAAGCACUCCCGGCGAAGACAUGUAGGCUCUCAGAGCCUGCGUUUCCCUCUGUAGAGCAGGCCUAGUUACUGUCUUCAGGGUGCACGCGUCUCCGUCCCCGACCCGCACCCUCACCGCCGGGGUUGCAAGCUCGAAGAGGGCAGAGGUGACAUCUCUGUUUACUGCAUGUACCCAGCACAGUGCCUGGCACCAAUCUGCA